rnacentral:rRNA from 1 species
CGGGGUGAGUAAUGUCUGGGAAACUGCCUGAUGGAGGAGGAUAACUACUGGAAACGGUAGCUAAUACCGCAUAACGUCGCAAGACCAAAGAGGGGGACCUUCGGGCCUCUUGCCAUCGGAUGUGCCCAGAUGGGAUUAGCUAGUAGGUGGGGUAACGGCUCACCUAGGCGACGAUCCCUAGCUGGUCUGAGAGGAUGACCAGCCACACUGGAACUGAGACACGGUCCAG